rnacentral:lncRNA from 1 species
AAAACGGUUAGAAUAUUAAAGUUAUGAAAAAAAUAGCACAAAAAUAAAUCAAUACACGAAACAUCACUUUGUUACUAUAUUUGAUAGAUAGACACAACUGGAAGCUCUCUAGCUACAUUAUAAGCAUUGUUACAAAACACCUUAAGGAUGACAAGGUUACUGUAUAGCCGAGAUUUAAUCGAGGUUUCAGCCCAGUUUAAAUUUAAAAAAAAUCAAAAUUCAAUAAAACAAUAUCUGUAUUCGAUGAACUGACAACUUAGCUGAUACUACCAUCGGGGACAUAAAUUUCACCAGCAGAGAUAUUAACCCAGUUGUAGUAAUAACAUAAACGAUACAAAUAUUACUAUACCAACUGCAAAGGUAAAUGAAUAUGUCGUCAGUAAUGCUCUUGGCCAA